rnacentral:rRNA from 1 species
AUACGCAGAGGCGAUUUCGGUCAAUCAUGUAAAAUCUUAGUGGCGGACGGGUGAGUAACGCGUGGGUAACCUGCCUUACACUGGGGGAUAACACUUAGAAAUAGGUGCUAAUACCGCAUAAGCGCACGAAGCCGCAUGGAUUUGUGUGAAAAACUCCGGUGGUGUAAGAUGGACCCGCGUCUGAUUAGCUUGUUGGCGGGGUAACGGCCCACCAAGGCGACGAUCAGUAGCCGGCCUGAGAGGGUGGACGGCCACAUUGGGACUGAGACACGGCCCAAACUCCUACGGGAGGCAGCAGUGGGGGAUAUUGGACAAUGGGGGGAACCCUGAUCCAGCGACGCCGCGUGAGUGAAGAAGUAUUUCGGUAUGUAAAGCUCUGUCAGCAGGGAAGAAAGAAAUGACGGUACCUGACCAAGAAGCCCCGGCUAACUACGUGCCAGCAGCCGCGGUAAUACGUAGGGGGCAAGCGUUAUCCGGAAUUACUGGGUGUAAAGGGAGCGUAGACGGUUAAGUAAGUCUGGAGUGAAAGGCCGGGGCCCAACCCCGGGACUGCUCUGGAAACUAUUCAACUUGAGUGCAGGAGAGGUAAGCGGAAUUCCUAGUGUAGCGGUGAAAUGCGUAGAUAUUAGGAGGAACACCAGUGGCGAAGGCGGCUUACUGGACUGUAACUGACGUUGAGGCUCGAAAGCGUGGGGAGCAAACAGGAUUAGAUACCCUGGUAGUCCACGCCGUAAACGAUGAUUA